rnacentral:rRNA from 1 species
CCUACGGGGGGCAGCAGUGGGGAAUAUUGCACAAUGGGGGAAACCCUGAUGCAGCGACGCCGCGUGAGUGAAGAAGUAUCUCGCUACGUAAAGCUCUAUCAGCAGGGAAGAAAAAAAGUCUUUGGCUUUGGACGGUACCUGACUAAGAAGCCCCGGCUAACUACGUGCCAGCAGCCGCGGUAAUACGUAGGGGGCAAGCGUUAUCCGGAUUUACUGGGUGUAAAGGGAGCGUAGACGGCGAAGAAAGUCUGAAGUGAAAGCCCGCGGCUCAACCGCGGAACUGCUUUGGAACCUUUUU